rnacentral:rRNA from 1 species
AGAGUUUGAUCCUGGCUCAGGAUGAACGCUGGCGGCGUGCUUAACACAUGCAAGUCGAACGGGAAACCUUUUAUUGAAGCUUCGGCAGAUUUAGAUUGUUUCUAGUGGCGGACGGGUGAGUAACGCGUGGGUAACCUGCCUUAUACAGGGGGAUAACAGUCAGAAAUGACUGCUAAUACCGCAUAAGCGCACAGAGUUGCAUGGCUCAGUGUGAAAAACUCCGGUGGUAUAAGAUGGACCCGCGUUGGAUUAGCUGGUUGGUGAGGUAACGGCCCACCAAGGCGACGAUCCAUAGCCGGCCUGAGAGGGUGAACGGCCACAUUGGGACUGAGACACGGCCCAGACUCCUACGGGAGGCAGCAGUGGGGAAUAUUGCACAAUGGGGGAAACCCUGAUGCAGCGACGCCGCGUGAAGGAAGAAGUAUCUCGGUAUGUAAACUUCUAUCAGCAGGGAAGAAAAUGACGGUACCUGACUAAGAAGCCCCGGCUAACUACGUGCCAGCAGCCGCGGUAAUACGUAGGGGGCAAGCGUUAUCCGGAUUUACUGGGUGUAAAGGGAGCGUAGACGGAUGGACAAGUCUGAUGUGAAAGGGCUGGGGCUCAACCCCGGGACUCCAUUGGAAACUGCCCGUCUUGAGUACCGGAGAGGUAAGCGGAAUUCCUAGUGUAGCGGUGAAAUGCGUAGAUAUUAGGAGGAACACCAGUGGCGAAGGCGGCUUACUGGACGGUAACUGACGUUGAGGCUCGAAAGAGUGGGGAGCCCUCAAAAGAAGAUACCCUGGUAGUCCAUGCCGUAAACG